rnacentral:rRNA from 1 species
AUUGAACGCUGGCGGCAGGCCUAACACAUGCAAGUCGAGCGGAGCGGCGGACGGGUGAGUAAUGCCUAGGAAUCUGCCUGGUAGUGGGGGAUAACGUCCGGAAACGGGCGCUAAUACCGCAUACUAUCAGAUGAGCCUAGGUCGGAUUAGCUAGUUGGUGGUGUAAAGGCCUACCAAGGCGCCGAUCCGUAACUGGUCUGAGAGGAUGAUCAGUCACGCUGGAACUGAGACACGGUCCAGACUCCUACGUGAGGCAGCAGUGGGGAAUAUUGGACAAUGGGCGAAAGCCUGAUCCAGCCAUGCCGCGUGUGUGAAGAAGGUCGUCGUAUUGUAAAGCACUUUAAGUUGGGAGGCGUUACCCGCAGAAGAAGCACCGGCUAACUCCGUGCCAGCAGCCGCGGUAAUAC